rnacentral:rRNA from 1 species
UACAGAGGUCCCAAGCGUUGUUCGGAUUCAUUGGGCGUAAAGGGUGCGUAGGCGGCGCGGUAAGUCGGGUGUGAAAUCUCGGAGCUUAACUCCGAAACUGCAUUCGAUACUGCCGUGCUUGAGGACUGGAGAGGAGACUGGAAUUUACGGUGUAGCGGUGAAAUGCGUAGAUAUCGUAAGGAAGACCAGUGGCGAAGGCGGGUCUCUGGGCCGAUACUGACGCUGAGGAGCGAAAGCGUGGGGAGCGAACAGG